rnacentral:rRNA from 1 species
AUUGAACGCUGGCGGCAGGCCUAACACAUGCAAGUCGAACGGUAACAGGAAUCAGCUUGCUGAUUCGCUGACGAGUGGCGGACGGGUGAGUAAUGUCUGGGAAACUGCCUGAUGGAGGGGGAUAACUACUGGAAACGGUAGCUAAUACCGCAUAACGUCGCAAGACCAAAGAGGGGGACCUUCGGGCCUCUUGCCAUCGGAUGUGCCCAGAUGGGAUUAGCUAGUAGGUGGGGUAAAGGCUCACCUAGGCGACGAUCCCUAGCUGGUCUGAGAGGAUGACCAGCCACACUGGAACUGAGACACGGUCCAGACUCCUACGGGAGGCAGCAGUGGGGAAUAUUGCACAAUGGGCGCAAGCCUGAUGCAGCCAUGCCGCGUGUAUGAAGAAGGCCUUCGGGUUGUAAAGUACUUUCAGCGGGGAGGAAGGGAGUAAAGUUAAUACCUUUGCUCAUUGACGUUACCCGCAGAAGAAGCACCGGCUAACUCCGUGCCAGCAGCCGCGGUAAUACGGAGGGUGCAAGCGUUAAUCGGAAUUACUGGGCGUAAAGCGCACGCAGGCGGUUUGUUAAGUCAGAUGUGAAAUCCCCGGGCUCAACCUGGGAACUGCAUCUGAUACUGGCAAGCUUGAGUCUCGUAGAGGGGGGUAGAAUUCCAGGUGUAGCGGUGAAAUGCGUAGAGAUCUGGAGGAAUACCGGUGGCGAAGGCGGCCCCCUGGACGAAGACUGACGCUCAGGUGCGAAAGCGUGGGGAGCAAACAGG